UCUAAAAUAGCUUAAAAUAACAGCACUAACUUUGUAACUUAGAGAUGGAGCUCCUCCUUUUAGAU
rnacentral:tRNA from 1 species